rnacentral:rRNA from 1 species
GACGAACGCUGGCGGCGUGCUUAACACAUGCAAGUCGAACGAAGUGGCGAACGGGUGAGUAACGCGUAAUCAACCUGCCCUCCAGCGGGGGACAACAGUUUGAAACGACUGCUAAUACCGCAUACUGAUGGAGGGGCUUGCGUCUGAUUGGCUGGGUGGGGGGUUAACGGGCCACCAGGGCGAUGAUCAGUAGACGGUCUGAGAGGAUGAACGGGCACAUUGGGACUGAGACACAGCCCAGACUCCUACGGGAGGCAGAAGUGGGGAAUCUGCCGCAAUGGACGAAAGUCUGACGGAGAAACGCCGCGGGAGUGAUGACGGCCUUCGGGGUGUAAAGAUCUGUUAAUCGGGACGCGGUACCGGAAUAGAAAGCCACGGCUAACUACGUGCCAGCAGCCGCGGUAAUUC